CAAUUGUCAAAACGUUUAACUCUUCCUUUCCCGGAAGCUGUCAGAUUUGGAAAGAGAGUAGUGAUCAGCAAAGGAAUUCCGCCGAUGUUAUUGAAUGCAGAUCUGAUUAAGCGAAGCCAGUGUUAUUUUGAGAUAAGAAAGUCCUGCAGAUAUAAACAACCUGACAUUUUACUUCCUUUUUACAGUGUAGCUCAGACGCAAACCACAUGAGUUUGGCCUAUCGAUUUGGAAAUAUGAGACAUGACAAAUCGCUGUUUUUCUAAACUGGAAACCGAAGAAAUUGUACACUUCCUCAAGAAUUACACACUUGAGCUCAGAAGAAGAAUCUCUUAGCGUCAGCCCUACUGGUAUGUUGGGCCAGAAGAUUCUUUGUCAUGGGAGCAUUGCCUGUGAAUGGUAGGAUGCUUAGCUGUAUCCUUGGCCUUCACCUGCUAGACACCAGUUUCAUCCCUGGCAAUCAGAAUUGUCUCCAGAUAAUGCUAGCUGAUGUCUCCAGGGGAAAAAAAAUCAUCCCAGAUGGAGGUUCUUUGGAAGAUCUUGUCUAUUGGAGCAUGUAACUAUUCCUGUAGCCAGAAGAGGAGAUCACUACCCAGAGGAAGAGCCAGACUGCUGUGUCUGGAUACUUAAAAAGACAUUUGGAGGGGGAGAGCAUCUGCAAAUGUUGAUGAAAAUGGGUUUGGAACUUCUCCUUUGAUCAGGAAAUAGGUGGACCAUAAAAUGUCUGAUACAUGAUGCUGCCUGCAGCAAACCCACAUUCUGAACCCAGUCAUCUUAUUACUCUAGAAACACCAAUGGAAAAAGGAAGAAGGCUUAAAAGAUCCAACACUAUCCAACUGCAUUUGAUGUGCAAUGUUGAGUUAACCAAAAGUGGUCAUAUUUUUGUUACUGUAAAAUGACCGAUCAUUUAUGUUUCAUGUCUCAAACUGGAGGCCUUUUUUGACCAGUGUUCAAAACCACAUACUGCUAUUAAAAGAUACAAGUCUGUUGAUGACCUGUUUUGUUUUCUACAAUGUUUGUGAGUCUCUGAACAGCAGGGACCAUGUGUUAUACUUCUCUGCACAUCAGGUAUUUCCUUAUUAACAAGGGACACCCAACAAGUUUUAUAUUCAGUGAUGAAGGUGAAAUAAGUGUAUGAUCAGUAACAGAAGCUUGGAG
rnacentral:lncRNA from 1 species